rnacentral:rRNA from 1 species
UACGGGGGGGGCAAGCGUUGUUCGGAAUUACUGGGCGUAAAGGGCUCGUAGGCGGCCAACUAAGUCAGACGUGAAAUCCCUCGGCUUAACCGGGGAACUGCAUCUGAUACUGGAUGGCUUGAGUUCGGGAGAGGGAUGCGGAAUUCCAGGUGUAGCGGUGAAAUGCGUAGAUAUCUGGAGGAACACCGGUGGCGAAGGCGGCAUCCUGGACCGGUAUUGACGCUGAGGCGCGAAAGCCAGGGGAGCAAACGGG